rnacentral:rRNA from 1 species
UACAGAGGUCCCAAGCGUUGUUCGGAUUCACUGGGCGUAAAGGGUGCGUAGGUGGCGAGGUAAGUUUGAUGUGAAAUCUCCGAGCUCAACUCGGAAACUGCAUUCGAUACUGCCUUGCUCGAGGACUGGAGAGGAGAUUGGAAUUCACGGUGUAGCAGUGAAAUGCGUAGAGAUCAUGAGGAAGACCAGUGGCGAAGGCGGGUCUCUGGACAGUUCCUGACACUGAGACACGAAGGCCAGGGGAGCAAACGGG